rnacentral:snoRNA from 1 species
GGAGGGAUAUGAAGAGAAAUCAUCGCAUUGCUGAUGCAAUUAUAUUCGUAUAUAUGCUUGAUGAUACCUGCACGUCAGUCUGAUCCUUCU